rnacentral:rRNA from 1 species
AGAGAGAGACAUGCGCGCAUAUCAAUAAGCGGAGGAAAAGAAACUAACUAGGAUUCCCUUAGUAACGGCGAGUGAAGCGGGAAGAGCUCAAAUUUGAAAUCUUCAAGGGUUUACCUUUACGAAUUGUAGUUUAAAGAAGUGGUUUCUGUUGAGGUUUUGGUAAAAGUUCUUUGGAAUAGGACAUCAUAGAGGGUGAGAAUCCCGUAUUUGACCAUUACUUUCCAACUUUGUGAUACACUUUCAAAGAGUCGGAUUGUUUGGGAAUGCAGUCCAAAAUGGGUGGUAAAUUUCAUCUAAAGCUAAAUACUGGCGAGAGACCGAUAGCGAACAAGUACCGUGAGGGAAAGAUGAAAAGAACUUUGAAAAGAGAGUUAAACAGUACGUGAAAUUGUCAAAAGGGAAGCGUUUGACACCAGUGUUGUUUUCUCGAAAAUCAAUUAAAAAGAGUUAGGAUUUUGUUGUGUAUUGACCUUAUCAGCUUCUGCACUUCAUUUUCUUGUCUUUUUUAAUGCACUUUUCGUUUAACAAGUCAACAUCAAUUUCUUUUGUUGUAAAAAGGGUCAUUGGAAGGUGGCUUUCUUUUCGGAGAAAGUGUUUAUAGCCUUUGACUCCUGCAAUCGGAGAGACUGAGGUCUGCAGCGUAGAUCCUUCGGGGUUAGAUACAUUUGUGCUAAGUUAUAGCCUUUUAUAGACAACUUGUUGACUAUGAUUAGUCAUUGUAGCUUACUCGCUUAUGCUAUUUUACCUACGCUUAGGAUGUUGAUGUGAUACUGCGAGCA